GCCAGACUCAUGGAGAACUGCUUCCACAAGUUUCUCUUCUCCAACAGCAACAGCUGCUCAUUCCUCCACAACCUGGCCAGACUCAUGGACAACUUCUUCCAAAAUGUCAUCCAUACCUGCCUCUCUUCAAACAACAACAGGUUUCAGGACCGAUUCGGCUCUGGCCCUGAGGCUGGUGAACGGCGGUGACCGGUGUCAGGGCCGCGUGGAGGUCCUCUACCGAGGCUCCUGGGGCACCGUG